AAAUUAUCAGAAACCAAAGCACCCAGAUAUCAGACUAUGAAUAGAAAACAUCUUUCCUGAACAAGUACAGGCUUUAUUACUUAAUUGUAUUUACACUGAUGAGUGCACACAAAGAAAAAUCAAUUUGUGGGAGUUUAUUUCAUUGGUAUUGAAAUUGUAUCUUCCUUGAAAAACUUGGCACACAGUGCCUAGUUUGUCUCCCAGUUCAUUAUAUUAUUAUUUUACUAUAUUCUGUGCUGUUAUGUAGUUUUAUAUGGGCUCACUAGUUGAGUGUUCAAAAUUGCUUUUCUGAACUAUAGAAUAUUAACUUCCAGUAUUUACCAAAAAAAUGUUAUUUAUUAAAAAAAUCACAAUAAAAGGGCAUAAAAUAAAUAUAAAUACUCAACAUUUUCAAGGUUCUUGUGGAAUCAUUCUGAAAGCAUUAAAAGGAGAGGCUGGAAAUCUGCGUUUAUAAUAUUGGUCAUUUCCCUACCUACUUAAUAGUAACAUUAAAGCUUCCUCAGUAUGCUUUCUGAAACAAGUAAAAAUGUUCUUUUACCUUAACUUAUACUGUGGAAAAUCUCAAAGGAAUGCUAGAAAACCAUUCCAAUGUACUCACCCAAACAACACAAAAUACCCACACCUUCUCCAAUUCAAGCAAUCAUUUAAUUAAUCGAAAGAGCUGAGAUGCACUCCCUCUCUACCUCAUAAGGGCUUCCAUCAUGAACUUGAUUGUGUCCUAAAUUCAGUCCUCCAGGAGAAGCUCAUCACCCUCCCCAUGUCCUGAAUGUCAGAAUCCAAAGCUGGAAACUGCAUCCUACUUAAUCUUUAUGUUUUUUGAAAAAGUUUAUCUUUCUUCCCAGGAAUAAAAACAUCUAUUCUCUGAGGCACAUGUAAGCAUUUAUCCUUCAGUAUAAUGAACUUUUUUAGUCAUAUUGUUAAUGACAAGCUUACAUAAAUUUUUUUCUGCUCCCACCUUCAAAGCUCCAAGCCCUGUAUUCUUACAGGAUGAUAUUCAUAAACUAUUUGACCUUAGCUUCCCUCCAUUUAAGGCUUUCUUGCUCAGAAUCACUCCUUUUAUUAGUUAUCUGUUGAUGCUUAACAUAUUACCUCCAAAACUUAGUGGAUUAAAACAACAAACAUUCAUUAUGCCAACUUCUCUGGGUCAAGAACUAUAUCAGAAUUAGUAAGGCCCUCUAGCUCAAGGACUCUCAUAAGGCUGCCAUCAUUUAAAAGCCUUACUUAGGGAAGAUUCACUUCUAAGAUUAAUCAUGUGGCUGGGGGCAGUCCCCAGGUCCUUCCUUGCUGGCUGUGACUGGUGACACUGGCUCCGUGCUAUGUGGACUUCUUAAUAGGCAGCGCCCAACAUAGAAGUCAGCUUCCCUUACAAUGAAAGAGAGAGAGAGGAUUCCCAAGACAGAAGCCACAGUCUUUGUGCAAUCUAAUGUUGGAAGUGAUAUCCAUCACUUCUGCCACAGUCUAUUUGAUAGUGAAGUGAGAUAAAUUCAACUAGGACAACAGAGUAGAAGAUUCCUCAAGGAGUUACCUCUACCAGGGGUACAAGUGACAUGGAGCAAUUUUAGAGGCUGCUUACCAAACCCAUGAAAUGUAUAAUGACAAAACAUGAUAUUCCUCUUAAAUGACUAAAUAAGCACACCACUCUUUGAUCAAUCUCCUGUCUGUUCAGUGUGGCAACAAUUCCCACUGCAGCUGUUCUCCUGCCUCACUAAGACUUUCAAUCCACUGGUGCCUCAGCCUUUGCCUAUAGCAUUAUGAUCCUCCUGCGGUCAGUUACUCCCACAAGCAAACUAACAAUGGCUCUUCUCAACACUGGCUUUAUGUUAGAAUUGCCUGAGGAGGUUCCAAAGAUACAUAUGAGUGCCUUGGCCCCAAUUGAGAUUGGCUGACCCAGUGUCUCUGGGACCUGGCAUUCUAUUAUGAUACUAAUAUGCAGCAAUAGUUGGGAAUCGAUAUUGUAGAUUCAAUUACUGAAUAUUUUAAAAUGUAAUUGCCAGUAACAUAAAACCAGAAUUGACAUACUGCUUCCCUUGGGCUAAAUACAAUCCAUCUCCUAUUUUUUAAAUAAAUUCUUAUUGGAACGCAGCCACAUUUUCUUAUUGUCCAUGGUUGCUUUUGCAGAACAUGGGAGAACUGAGUACUUCCUACAGAGACAAUAUGGCUCACAAAAUAAAAAUAUUUACUAUCUGGCCCUUUGCUUAAAAAAAAUUACUGAGUUUUGACCUAUCCCCUUUCACAUCUUCAUUUUUCUCUCUCUCUCUCUCUCUUUCUCUCUCUCGGUUGCUUUUGGUUUUGUCCUUUUUAGAAGCACAUUGCAACCUCUUCUCUAGAUGAACUCAACUAUCUGAUUUCUGCAUAUUUCUCAGUCCAUGACUGCUGCUGAAGAAUGUCAUGCAAGAAAACAAACUGAUAAUAUUUUAAGACGAUGAUCACCAUUGGAAACCGGGUUUUCAAUUGUGCCUGACAUAACUUUUUCAAUCUCUACAAUCCUCUAAUUUCUGACACUCUCUUCUCCCUUCUCACUUCUCUCUCUCUGCAGAUGACUUUGCUACUGCAACACAGAGAAAAUAUAAGUCUUUAUACUCAUAGUCUUUCAACUACCUGGCACUAAAUCAAUAUACCUGUCUCCAUUUGCAACUAUUAUCUUUCUCCCUGAUCCUGUCAAGAUGAUCUUACUCUUUGUUGUAGGCUACUUUCCUCCUCUGACUUCAGAAUUAGUUCUCACCUGACAUUAAGAGGAAAUUUACAUUGUUACCAAUUUCUCUACUGAAAAUCCAACUUUUUAUUUCCACGUAGAUGCUUCCCAUUGUGGUUUCCAUGAACUUUAUUGUCUCAAUGAUUGUCAUUUUAGAUCUAUAACUCUUUUUCUGAGCUUUGGGUCUAUAUAAGCCAAAUUUCUGCUCAACGGAGCAACCAUAUCCCCACUUUAAUUGGACAAGUCUCUCCAGAAAAUAAAUCUCCUAUUUCCUGUUGUGUUAAAUGAAGAAUAAUUACUAAGGUAUUCAGUAAUGAUAAAGAAUCUGGGAAUUUAACUGUUCUUGAUAUGAAAUUUCAAAUUACACACUUUUUUUGGGGGGGAAGCCAAACCCACCUCCAGCAUUUUAUUCCCACACAUGAUAAGCUUGUCCAAGGUGUGUGUGGUUUGGAUGACUUUAUAUUUUGUUAGCUUUCCUCUUCCCUCUACAUAUGGACACUAUGUUUUGUCAAAAGGAAAUGUGUACACUAGAUGCUUGUUAAAAAUAGCAAGGAAGACUAUUCAGGACUAUAGCAAUGGGGGAAUAAUAUAGCUAUAGUAGAGAGAGAUUGAACUAAAAUUUCUCCCAGCAUGGAGCUGGAAAUUUAUAAGCAAAGAGCUGAGGGAGUGAGUCAGUGGAUAGAAACUAAUUAGAUAUUAAGGGUGGCGGGGGGUGGGGUGGCGGGGAGCGGGGUUCUUGCUAAACUGCAUUAUUGCUAAAGGCAUGCCAAAGUGAUAAGAUAUCCAGGGCGAAGUGAUUCUCAGUGAACUGGCUUAGCAGGCGUCUUUGUUAAACUGGGCCUGAGAAGAGGGACUGGAGAAGAAUGAUUAAACUUUGGUCAAGAUGGGAAUCUGUCAGUUUUGGCCUUCUCUAAUCUAUGUGGUUACGCUGCUCGAGAGCUUGCUAAGAUGUAUUCAAGAAGGCUAGUGUAUUAGCUUGUUCUCACACUGCUGCUAUAAAGAAACACUUGAUAUGGGGUAAUUUAUAAAGCAAAGAAGUUUAAUUGGCUCACAGUUCUGCAGGCUGAACAGGAAGCAUAGCAGCAUCUGCUUCUGGGGAGGCGAAAGGGAGAUUUUACUCAUGGCAGAAGGCAAAGUGGAAGCACGAAUCUUGCAAGGCAGAAGCAGGACUGAGAGGAAGAGAAAAGGUGCCACACACUUUCACCAACCAUAUCUCAUGAGGAUGCUAUCAUGAUACAGCAUCAAAGGGGGAAAUCUGCCCCCAUGAUCCAAUCACCUCCCACAAGACCCCACCUCCAACAUUGGGGAUUACAAUUCAGCAUGAGAUUUGGUAAGGGACACAGAUCCAAAUCAUAUCAGCUAGUAAUAAAGUGUAUUAAGAUUUAGGAGUUGAUAUGGUUUGGCUGUGUGUCCCCACUCAAAAUCUCAUGGUGAAUUGUAAACCCCAUAAUCCCCACAUGUCAAGGGAGAGACCAGGUGGAGGUAAUUGAAUCAUGGAGGUGGUUUCUCCCAAGCUGUUCUCAUGACAGUGAGUGAGUUCUCUCGAGAUCUAAUGGUUUUACAACUGUUCGGCAAGUUCCUCCUUCCAUCCUUCUUUUUCCUGCCAUUUUGUGAAGAAAGUGCCUGCCUCCCUUUCACCUUCCACUACGAUUGUAAGUUUCCUGAGGCCUCCCCAGUCAUAGGGAACUGUGAGUCAAUUAAACCUCUUUCUUUAAUAAAUUACUCAGUCUCAGGUAUUUUCAUAUAGGAAUGUGAGAAAGGACUAAUACAGGAAUCUUCAAGGACAUCCCAUCCAAAUUAAAAGUUGUGUAUCACUUGCUUCUUUGACCUCAUCUACUGUAUUAAUUACAUUUAUAUGUAUAUAUACACACACACACAUAUGCAAACAUAUAUAUAUAUAUAUCAGCUUUACUAAAUGGUCUCUAUAUUCUCAGUUUUAUUGUUUCAUUAGGAAAAGAAAUUGGCUGGGAUAUUGGUAACAGUAUAUUUCUGCUUAUGCUGUAAUACCCAAGUUGAAACAUUUGAUAGAAAUUGAUUGAUGCUUGUUACCUGAUGUUUUAAAAUAAGGGCUAAAUAGUUAUAUAUCUCAAUAUUAUCGUUAUCCUGGAUGUGACAGGGUACAGAUGUGACAAUGCAUGUUUUUAUAGUGUGUUCUACUGGUGAUUCAAAUAACUAAGGUAUUGCCAUUGGCAACAUAAUUUUUGUAAAUAUUGAAAGACUCUGGGAAGUUUCUACAAUAAAAAGACUUUUUCUCUUCAAUUUCCAUAGUGGUUGCAUUCUGAAAAAUUUAGUUUGUAUUAAGCCAUUCAAAGUAUUUACAUGUAAAAUAUUCAUUUCUUGACUAAAUAAUUACAGAUGAUCACUUACGUGGCUAUCCAUUGGGGCAUUUGAUGGGAAUAUUUUUUACAAUGUAGGAUCGCAGGAUAUCUAGUAUUGUUUGUCCUCACAUUGGAAAUACAAUUACUGCCUUCUGAUCGUUUUGACAAUGGAGACACUCAAGCAUUUCUAAACAGAAAAAGCUGGUACAAGCACACUUGAAGCACAAUACAUCUGAAAGGCACAUGAAGAGUUCAAUAAAAUGUUUAACAACUGAAAAGACUGCAGAAAUAAAUUUAAGUAUUCUGUCUAUACUAAAAUCCAAAUGUAAAUUAUAUUAGAGUUGCAGCUAUUUAAUACGCUAUUUCAGCAUUCACAUGCUAUUUUCAUUUUCUAUUCAGAUGUUUUUUCCACUGCCAGACACUUUCUAACAAGUCCUUCAACCCUCUUUAUAAUAACUUAUGAAAAUAUUUGUUACAUUAUGCUCAAUGAUUUCCUCAAUUAAAAUGAUAUAUAAAAUAAGAACAAGUGAGAGGAAAAAAACAUAGUUUGUGCAUCUGUUUUGUGAUAAAUAUAGUAGUUAGAUCUAUUUUAUAUAAAUUUUCUCAUUAAACCCACAUCAAACUUUUUCUCCUGCAUUUUUUAAAUGGAAAAUGUGAGGUUGAUAGGAGUUAAUUAACUCUACUAAUAGCUGACGGUAAUGAAACUAUCAUUACUGAGAACUAUAGUUGGUUUUUACAAUUAUUUCAUUUUUUGUUGGUUUGUUUUUGUUUUUGUUUUUUGAGAUGGAGUUUCGUUCUUGUUGCCCAAGCUGGAGUGCAAUGGCGUGAUCUCAGCUCACUGCAACCUCUGCCUCUUGGAUUCAAGUGAUUCUCCUGCCUCAGCCUCCUGAGUAGCUGGGAUUACAGGCACGUGCCACCACGCCCAGCUAAUUUUGUAUUUUUGGUAGAAAUGGGGUUUCUCCAUGUUUGUCAGGCUGGUCUCGAACUCCCAACCUCAGGUGAUCCACCCACCUCCGCCUCCUAACGUGCUGGGAUUACGGGUAUGAACCAGCAUGCCCGGCCAAUCUAUAUCUUUUAAGUGUGAAAUGCUUUCAGAAAAAUAUUUCAACCAAAAGGGAGAAAUGUGGAAGUUGUGAGCACCAAAAUGGAGUCACUUACAUCAAACCAUAAAAAAAUGAAGCUGGGAGGCCAUGAAAGAGGGGCCUUCAUGUACAUAUGUCUAUAAUAAGAACUGCUGCAAUGGUUCUCUCAAAAACCACGAAAAUGUUAGAUAUGAUAAUUCUAUGAAGACAUCUCUCCAGCAACAGCCAAUAUUAUCAAUGAGUAUUUGCCAACUCUUGUAACAAGCUUCUCUGGCCCAUGAGGUUUAUUACAAAACUUACAUAAAAUUUCUCUUUUAAGAUUUUUGCCUUCCUGAUAUGGUUUAGAUUUGUGUCCCCACCCAAAUCUCAUGUCGAAUUGUAAUCCCCAAUGUUGGAGGAGGGGCUUGGUGAGAGGCGAUUGGAUCAUGGGGGUGGAUUUCCUCCUUGCUGUUCUUGUGAUAGUGAGUUCUCAUGAGACCUGCUUGUUGAAAAGUGUGUGGUAUUUCCCCUUUGCCCUCUUCCCCCUGCUUCGGCCAUGUAAGACGUGCCUCCUUCCUUUUUGCCUUCUGCCAUCAUUGUAAGUUUCCUGAGGCCUCCUCCAAUCAUGUUUCCUGUACAGCCUAUGAAAUCAUGAGUCAAUUAAACCUCUUUUCUUUAUAAAUUACCAAGUCUCAGGUAGUUCUUUGUGCUAGAACAAACUAAUACAGUCCCUCAGCUUCUUUGGUGCCUAAGGUCCACCAUAGCAUGUGUAUUUCAAAUUGCAAUUUACUGCUAUUUCCUGAAUACACUCUUUAUUUUAGAGAGUCAGUAUCUCUGUUGUUUAAGUUGACAUAAUCUAAUGUCAGAAGCAAGAUGCAAAGGCUCCAAGCCUUCUUUGUUACUUACAGUUACAGCACUGUUAUCCAAACAGUAACAAAGAAAGCCUUUGGAAGGCUUUCAAGUAUCUGGCGAUACUUGAAAUUGUGUAUGAUACUCACCUGAGCCUAUUGUGAUCUUCACUUGUACAAGUUGUCUUUAUGCUGCGAGAUAAGUCCUCUCUUGGUUUGAGCUCCCACCUUUUCAGUGAACUCUUACAUUUUGGGGGAUCUGCUCUUGUAAAGGACAUCCUUUCUGGUGAGUAUUCUUUUGGUUUAAUUUUUGGUUUGGUUAUUUGUGCAUGAAUUUAAUCUCAUUAGGAAACAAGUUAAGUUGAAUAGACCAACUAGUGAAUUAAUCCGUCUCCAAAAUAUACGUUUUUGGCAUUUACCUGUUUAUUUUGAAACUCUUUGUAAGAAAUGUAAACCUGUAAUGAUAAUCUCUGCUUUGUAAGGAUAUCUCCCUCUCUGACACCUAAAACACUAGAUGCUUUCACAAAGCAAAAGGAAGAGACCUAAAUCUAUCUAUCUGUGUAAACUCACCCUUGACCAUUUCAUUUUGAAGGCUUCCUAUAUAUGCUUUUUUUCAUCUCAACAAAUAGUGGUGUUUAAGUUCUGUACCUUUGAGAUUUAAAUUUUCUACAUUCCUUCACCUAAAAAUCAUCUCUUUGGAAGUACAAAUUUUGGGUGGCCUAACUAACACUUGUUUAUGGGCCAAUUGAACAGAUCAUUAAAAGACAGAUAGUCUGAAAGAGGGAGUAAAACUACUUGCAAGCCAGGCAAAUAACAAUUCUUAAUGCAAGUUGUAAGUUCUUCCUCUGUCUGUAUUUUUCUACGUGUGUGUGUGUGUGUGCGUAUGUACAAUUUUUUCUACCAAAAUUCAUAAACGGCUCUACUUAAUUGGCUUACAGAGAAAACAUAAGUGUUUAAACUAAGAAUUCUCUCAGAAAAACAGAAACUCAAUUGCCUUUUGGCUUAUGUGACGAAAUAAUCUUUGGCAGACAAAGCUAGUUUUAAAAUUUGUUGGCAAAAUAAAAACAAAUAUUUUCAGAAUUGUCAGCAUUAAUUACAAUGUACAGAUACAGUUUUUAAACCUAAAGUUACUGGUGAAACAAGCUUGCUAUUACUGAGAUGUAUAAUGAAUGUCUUAAAGCUAUAAAUCCACUCAUCCUUGUGUUUAAGGAGGAACUGAAGCACAAUUGUUAAGAACAAGUGAAUUAGGUGAAUAUAAAUUGACAAAAGGUUGAUAAUAAAGUUGUCAGAAUUUCAAAAAUAAUUUAGUGUGACUUGAAAUCUUAAAAUCAUGUUAUAUUAAAUUAAGUAACACUUUACUGAUUUAAUAUUUGAGUCAUUUCUAAGGAAAAUACUGAAAUAUCAAUUGCUUAACAGAAGUUUAAAAUAUACGUAAUUUGGCAUCUUGGUUUCACAUGUUAUGGAAAAGCUAAACAUAUUUGGGCCUGUUAAUUAAAGGCAUAAAAAUUAUUUUAUGAGAUGGUGUUCAUCUGCAAAAUACUAACAUGAUGCACUUCAAAAUGCUUACUAAUUUUCACUAGAAAUUAAGGUUACUAAGAGUUAAUUAAAAUUAAUAUUAGAGUAAUUUAAACUAGAAAUAAUGAAGGGAAACAAAUCUGUACGUGAGGGAAGGAAAACACAUACAGAAAGUUAUAAGUAAGAGGUUGUGUUUUUGUUAAGGGAAAAAGAGAGUAUUUUUUGUCUAAAAGUAGAAUGUCUUACUGUUCCAAAAAGAAAAAGAGAAAAAAUAUAGACAAAAACUGAAUAAGAUAACUGGAUGACAAAUUUAUAGAAAGUUUGUGGAAGAUUAAUCUUGUGAAAAGAAUUUUAUGUGUGACCAAGUUGGCUAAAGUUAAAAGGAAAUUAUUUAUAAAUAUUCUGAAAACUUGAGCAUUAUUAUCAAAAGUACAGGAAUGGAAAACUUGAAAUUUGUCCCCUGUGCUGAAACAACAAGCUUUUCUUUGAGUAUUGACCUGCUCUUAAUAGACAAUAGUGAAAUGUUUUCUCUACCUUUUAGAUAACUGGCCUAAUAAACCAAGAUUUUUUGUUUAUCAAGGUAAUUUCUUAUGCUUUAUGCUCUCUUUUACUAGGUCUUUGAUUACUUGAGAAAAGUGAGUGAGGUGGGGCCAAGAUGGUUGACUAGAAGCAGCUAGUGUGUGCCACUCUCACAAAUAGCAGGAAGAGUGGUGAGACACUAGCUCUUCAACCGGAACAUCCAGGUGGACACAUAAGGAUUCAUCAGUGACAUAGUGUGACCUUCGGAUCACGGAGAAGAGUGAGACAGAUCAACCAUUCACCCAGGAGUGGCACAGACCCAGGGGAAUCCCCCUACAAGAAAAUGAAGCCAAGGAACACCAUCUGAAGUUCUGAUGGCAACAUCAGAAGCUAAGAGAAAGGCAUGGAAAAGAUUCUCACCUAGAGCAUCCAGAGGAGAGGUUGGUCCUGCAGACACCUUGUUUUCUGACCUCUGACCUCCGCAACUGUGAGGGAAGAAAUUUCUGUUGCUUAAAGACACACAGCUUGUGGUACUUCAUUAUAGCAGCCCAAGGUAACUAAUAUAGAUGACAAAAUUGGUUCCAAGGGUGUUUGAGGAACUGGACCUUUAUAGGCAUUAUUUUCAUAAUACUGCAUUAAGCUAUGAUAACUGGAUUAGAUUCAAAAUUGGAUAAUGCCCUAAAUGCAAUAAAGCUAUAAUUUUGAGAUAAAAUUUUAAUAGCUUUAUGAGAUAUAAUUAACAUCUGGUAUACUGCACAUUUUUGAGGUGUGAAAUUUUUAAACAUUAACAUACGUAUAUACUUGUAAAACUAUCACACUAGAAAGAGAUCUCAAGCCUCUUCUUUUGACUUUCAACACAUUGUCAAUCCAGUACUAAUCUGGUUUUAUUACCAUAUAUUAGCUUUUAUUUUCUACAAUUAUAUAUCAGUAGAAUUAUAGAGUAUGAAUUCUUUUUGUCUUUUUUCCUUAAGCAUAAUAUUUUUGAGAUUCAACAAUUUCUUGCAUGUUGAAGUAGCACUUUUUUAUUGUUACAUAUUAUUUCAUUUCAUAGACAUACCACUAUAAUUUAUUUACUAAACUCUUGACCAGAGGUUCUCAAAUGAGGGACAUUUUACCUGCCAGGGGACAUUUCCAAUGUUUGGGGACACUUCUGGUUAUCAGAGGUUUGUGGAGGAGGGGAUAGAGUGUCCACAGGCCAGGGUUCCACAAAGGAUAGCUCCCCACAACAAAGAAUUAAGCCACUUCAACAGCUAAUAGUGCUGAACUUGAGAACGCCGCUCUUGGUGGACAGUUGCAUGGUGUCUGUUUUUGACAAUAAUGAAUAAAGGUACUUGUGCAAGCCUUUUUACAGACUUAUGCUUUUCUCCCCCCUAGGAUAAAUGCCUAGGGGUAGAAUUGGUACAUGUAAGGUAGAUUUAGUUAUCCAAAGUAGCUGUACUGUGUUACACUCCCACCGUCAAUGUAUGCAAACUCUAGAGUCUGGUUUCUUGACAUCUAUGCCAAAUAUUGGUAACACAAUUUUUAAAAUAGUAGCUUUUCUAGUAGAUGUGUAUAAUUAUCUCAUUUUAUUUUUUAUUACUAACGAUAUUAAGAAAUUUUUCAUUUGCUUAUUUGCUAUUAUAUCAUUUUUGUGUAGCAUCUGUUAGUUUUUAUAGCUCUCUUGUUUCUAUGUUGUACAUUAUAUUUAUAUAUUCUUGCUCUUAUUCAUAAUAAAUAGUAUAUAUAAUUGUGUAAUUAAAAAUAAACAUU
rnacentral:lncRNA from 10 species